GGAAGCCAGCUACCACAUCCUGAACUGCCUAUUGGAUUGGGACCUUUGGCGGGGUCCUGAGGGUAGCCUCUAAGAGUUGACAGUAUUCCAUUUUGCGGCUAGCAAGAAAAGGGAGACUUCCUUCUCUACAGCAACAGGGACUGAAUUCUUCCAACAACCAAACCACAUGAGAAGCCAAUUCCUAAUCAGAAGCUUGCUUGACCCUGAUGCUGGGAAAGAUUGAGGGCAGGAGGAUAAGGGGACGACAGAGGAUGAGAUGGUU